ACCAUGAUAGGUUAAAGAAACUGUAGGUCUGUGGAGCCUAAGUUCCGUUAGGUCAUGGUA
rnacentral:tRNA from 1 species